rnacentral:rRNA from 1 species
UACGUAGGGGGCAAGCGUUGUCCGGAUUUAUUGGGCGUAAAGAGCUCGUAGGCGGCUUGUUGCGUCGGCUGUGAAAUCCCAUGGCUCAACUGUGGGCUUGCAGCUGAUACGGGCGGGCUGGAGUUCGGUAGGGGAGACUGGAAUUCCUGGUGUAGCGGUGAAAUGCGCAGAUAUCAGGAGGAACACCGGUGGCGAAGGCGGGUCUCUGGGCCGAUACUGACGCUGAGGAGCGAAAGCGUGGGGAGCGAACAGG